rnacentral:rRNA from 1 species
AGUGAACGCUGGCGGUAGGCCUAACACAUGCAAGUCGAACGGCAGCACAGUAAGAGCUUGCUCUUACGGGUGGCGAGUGGCGGACGGGUGAGGAAUACAUCGGAAUCUACUUUUUCGUGGGGGAUAACGUAGGGAAACUUACGCUAAUACCGCAUACGACCUACGGGUGAAAGCAGGGGAUCUUCGGACCUUGCGCGAUUGAAUGAGCCGAUGUCGGAUUAGCUAGUUGGCGGGGUAAAGGCCCACCAAGGCGACGAUCCGUAGCUGGUCUGAGAGGAUGAUCAGCCACACUGGAACUGAGACACGGUCCAGACUCCUACGGGAGGCAGCAGUGGGGAAUAGUGGACAAUGGUCGCAAGCCUGAUCCAGCCAUACCGCGUGGGUGAAGAAGGCCUUCGGGUUGUAAAGCCCUUUUGUUGGGAAAGAAAAGCAGCAGGUUAAUACCCCGCUGUUCUGACGGUACCCAAAGAAUAAGCACCGGCUAACUUCGUG